GACGAACGCUGGCGGCGUGCUUAACACAUGCAAGUCGAACGGAAAGGCGCUGCUUGCAGGGUACUCGAGUGGGGAACGGGUGAGUGAGACGUAGGUGAACUGCCCUGCACUUCGGGUUAAGCCUGGGCAACUGGGUCUAAUACCGGAAAGGAGCCAUUUUUAGCGGGAUGGUUGGAAAGUUUUUUAGGUGUGGGAUGAGCUCGCGGGCUGUCAGCUUGUGGGUGGGGUAAUGGCCUACCAAGGCGGCGACGGGUAGCCGGCCUGCGGGGGUGGACGGCGACACUGGGCCUGAGCGACGGCCCGGAAUCCGACGGGAGGCAGCCGCGGGGAAUGUUGCCCAAUUGGCGCGAGGCUGCUGCAGCGACGCCGCGUGUCGGAUGACGGCCUUCGUGUUGCAGACUCCUUGCGCUAGUGACUAAGCUUUUUGUGACGGUACCUAGAUAAGAAGCACCGGCUAACUACGUG
rnacentral:rRNA from 1 species